rnacentral:lncRNA from 1 species
UGUUAAGGUCCCUAGGACACAGUAUCCAUGAGGAAGGGUCUGAGGUGGCUAUGGGAGGGAGCUGGAUCAGGGGUGCUCCCGUGUCACCUGAAGAUGAGCCCUACACUGGUGGAAAUAAUUAAUGGGCAGCCAGGAGUUGUGGGACUCAGGGAUAGUGUGUCAGAGCAAGGAGGCCAACAGGGAAACCCUUGAUGGAGGCACUUCCUUCCUCUCCACCUCUCCCCUAUCUUUCUGGUUGUCAGAAGGAAUUUGAAGGUGUCUUCUCAGAGACCAGUACUAGAGACCAGAGGCAAACAUCAGUCAUUACUGAUCUGUGAAUCCAUGGACAUACUUCUUCCCAAACAGAAGGCCCAACUAUUCCAGGAAAUGAUCAUGAAGGAGGAAGGAAGG